UCUAGAUUAGAGUUUGAUCCUGGCUCAGAAUCAACGCUGGCGGCGUGCCUCAGACAUGCAAGUCGAACGAUUAAAGCUCCCUUCGGGGAGUGCAUAAAGUGGCGCACGGGUGAGUAACACGUAAGUAAUCUACCUUCGAGUGGGGAAUAACAGUCGGAAACGACUGCUAAUACCGCAUAACGCAGCGGCAUCGCAAGAUGACAGUUGUUAAAGGAGCAAUCCGCUUGAAGAGGAGCUUGCGGCAGAUUAGCUAGUUGGUAAGGUAAUGGCUUACCAAGGCUACGAUCUGUAUCCGGUCUAAGAGGACGGUCGGACACACUGACACUGAAUAACGGGUCAGACUCCUACGGGAGGCAGCAGUCGGGAAUUUUGGGCAAUGGGGGAAACCCUGACCCAGCAACGCCGCGUGAAGGAUGAAGUAUUUCGGUAUGUAAACUUCGAAAGAAUGGGAAGAAUAAAUGACGGUACCAUUUAUAAGCUCCGGCUAACUACGUGCCAGCAGCCGCGGUAAUACGUAGGGAGCAAGCGUUGUUCGGAUUUACUGGGCGUAAAGGGCGCGUAGGCGGCGCGGUAAGUCACUUGUGAAAUCUCUGAGCUUAACUCAGAACGGCCAAGUGAUACUGCAGUGCUAGAGUGCAGAAGGGGCAAUCGGAAUUCUUGGUGUAGCGGUGAAAUGCGUAGAUAUCAAGAGGAACACCUGAGGUGAAGACGGGUUGCUAGGCUGACACUGACGCUGAGGCGCGAAAGCCAGGGGAGCAAACGGGAUUAGAUACCCCGGUAGUCCUGGCCCUAAACGAUGAAUACUUGGUGUCUGGAGUUCUAAUACUCCGGGUGCCGUCGCUAACGUUUUUAGUAUUCCGCCUGGGGAGUACGCUCGCAAGAGUGAAACUCAAAGGA
rnacentral:rRNA from 1 species